UACGGGGGGGGCAAGCGUUGUUCGGAAUUACUGGGCGUAAAGGGCGCGUAGGCGGUGCUCUAAGUCGGAUGUGAAAACUCUGGGCUCAACCCAGAGCCUGCAUCCGAAACUGGAGUGCUAGAGUUCUGGAGGGGGUAGCGGAAUUCCUGGUGUAGCGGUGAAAUGCGUAGAUAUCGUUUGGAACGCCAAUGGUGAAAACAGGUUGCUGGGAGUGUGCUGACGCUGAGACACGAAAGCCAGGGGAGCAAACGGG
rnacentral:rRNA from 1 species